UACGUAGGUGGCAAGCGUUGUCCGGAUUUACUGGGCGUAAAGAGCGCGCAGGCGGUCGUUCAAGUCGCGUGUGAAAGCCCCCGGCUCAACUGGGGAGGGUCAUGCGAUACUGAUCGACUCGAAGGCAGGAGAGGGAAGUGGAAUUCCCGGUGUAGUGGUGAAAUGCGUAGAUAUCGGGGAGGAACACCAGUGGCGAAGGCGGUCCCCUGGGCCGGAACUGACGCUGAGGCGCGAAAGCGUGGGUAGCAAACGGG
rnacentral:rRNA from 1 species